rnacentral:lncRNA from 1 species
CUCAACAACUACCAGAGACAAGUUGCAGGGGACUCUGAGAAAGCACCAUGGGUAGACCUGGCAGAUUUCUUGACACAUCUGUCAUACAUUUAAGAGAUAAGAAUAGUCAACCCCAGGGGAGCUAGAAUAGAAGCAUGAAUGAAAUUUGUAGGUGGGGGACAUAGAAUUGUAUUUUUGUUUGUCCUUUGUUUGUUAUAAAUGGAAGCUCUCUUUUACUUUGGAAUAUUUUAUGACUCAGCCAGUACCUGAAGACCUGUGGGUGAGUGGAGCUUAGUGGAUUCUGAGCUUUCCUCAGUCAUGUCUUACAUUUAUUCAAAAAUACUUCAGGAGUCACUGGUUACUUCAUUUCUAGUUUUCCAGGACUUACAUAGAAUUUCACAUUCACUAUCCUUUUUUAGGUCUAAGGAGAAAAAUGUGAAACUGUUAGGAAAUUCCCUUCAUAGUAGUAAUUAUUUAAUAGGAAUUUAUUAUUGACCAAGUGUAGAUUAGACUCGUGAUUCAAAUAAGGUUUCAGAGAUUUAGUGUUUAAAUGAGAAGAUGGAUUAUACCCAUAUAACUAAAUUCAUCAUACCAUAAUACAUUAAAAAAGAUUAUUUGGGGGAACAAAAGUUAGGGGAAUCAAGAGGUGGGCAAAUAAUACACAAUUUAACGAGAGCCCUAAAGUAGAAUUUGAAGGAAUGAAGUACAAGAAGAAGCCACUGUAAUUUGUGGGGGGGGAACUGCUAAGGAAUUAGCAAGGAAAAAUGGGAAAGUGGCCAGUGAAUAGGUAAAUUGGGCUUGUUAUGGUUUGGUGGCCCCAAAAAGCUCACAUGUGAGACAGUGCAAGAAAGUUCAGAGGAGAAGUGAUUGGGUUGUGGGAGUCUUAACACAAUCAGUUACCAAUCAGUUACCACUCAGUUAAUCCCAGAAGUGGUAGGAUAUAGCCUGGAGGAGGUGGAAAUUUGGGGUGGUGUUGGCUAUGGGCUAUAUAUUUGCAUCUGACACAUGGAGACCUCUCUCUCUGCUUCCUGAUCAUCUGCUUUCCUCUGCCACAUUCUUUUACCAUGAGGUUGUACCUCAUCUCGAACCCCAAAGAAUGGAGCUGACCUUCUAUGGACUGAGACUUCUGAAAC